rnacentral:rRNA from 1 species
AGAGUUUGAUCCUGGCUCAGGACGAACGCUGGCGGCGUGCUUAACACAUGCAAGUCGAGCGGUAAGGCCCUUCGGGGUACACGAGCGGCGAACGGGUGAGUAACACGUGGGUGAUCUGCCCUGCACUUCGGGAUAAGCCUGGGAAACUGGGUCUAAUACCGGAUAUGAGCCUCCACUGCAUGGUGGGGGUUGGAAAGGUUUACUGGUGCAGGAUGGGCCCGCGGCCUAUCAGCUUGUUGGUGGGGUAAUGGCCUACCAAGGCGACGACGGGUAGCCGGCCUGAGAGGGCGACCGGCCACACUGGGACUGAGACACGGCCCAGACUCCUACGGGAGGCAGCAGUGGGGAAUAUUGCACAAUGGGCGAAAGCCUGAUGCAGCGACGCCGCGUGAGGGAUGACGGCCUUCGGGUUGUAAACCUCUUUCAGCAGGGACGAAGCGAGAGUGACGGUACCUGCAGAAGAAGCACCGGCCAACUACGUGCCAGCAGCCGCGGUAAUACGUAGGGUGCGAGCGUUGUCCGGAAUUACUGGGCGUAAAGAGCUCGUAGGCGGUUUGUCGCGUCGUCUGUGAAAACCAGCAGCUCAACUGCUGGCUUGCAGGCGAUACGGGCAGACUUGAGUACUGCAGGGGAGACUGGAAUUCCUGGUGUAGCGGUGAAAUGCGCAGAUAUCAGGAGGAACACCGGUGGCGAAGGCGGGUCUCUGGGCAGUAACUGACGCUGAGGAGCGAAAGCGUGGGUAGCGAACAGGAUUAGAUACCCUGGUAGUCCACGCCGUAAACGGUGGGCGCUAGGUGUGGGUUUCCUUCCACGGGAUCCGUGCCGUAGCUAACGCAUUAAGCGCCCCGCCUGGGGAGUACGGCCGCAAGGCUAAAACUCAAAGGAAUUGACGG